GGGGGGGUAGCUUAGUGGGUAGAGCACCUGACUAAAAGGCAGGAGGUUGCGGGUUCAAACCCCUAUCAUCCUCA